GGCUAGCCCAGGGUGUCACAGCUGAUUUGUGGCAGAUCUGGGACUCAAAACCUGUUUCCUUGUCUCUAUGUUCUAAGACGUCAUUUUAAUUCACAGUUAACGAGAAGUACAUUAAACAACGAACUAGCCUUCUGGACUUCAGUGUUCCUCUUUUUGGCUGAAGUUGAGUGGGGUAUGUGGUUGUGUGUUGGGGAUAAAUGUUCCAUGUUUGUUUGGGUGAAGAGGAUGAGUCAAAAGUCGGCUGGAUCAGCAUGGCUCCGAAAUGUGAGACAAAGUGCAUUUACUUUCUCUUGCUGUGAUGUGUAGCUAGAAUAGCUGCUCUUGGCAGCACUGGUCUUUUCUUAGGUUAACUCGAAUUUAUUACCAGUCGUGCAGAGGGCUUGAGGAUACAAAUAUCCAGCAAGCCUCUAUCUAUCUAGUUCCAGGACAGAGAGUGUGACAGAGUUAUCAUAUAAGUGUGCACGUUCACCAUGGUAGUUGCAAAACUGCUUAGAAGAAAUGUCAUUUAAAGGUUGCUUUUGAAAUAUUUGGCACAUAGUUUUUGUUCUAAAUGAGUGGAUUUUGGUUGAACAAAAUUAUCAAACGAAUGAGAAAGAUAGCUAAGGAUAAAUCCUUGGAAUUAACUGAGUUCAGUGGCGAGAUAAAGAAGAAAAAGCACAGAAUGUGCAUGUGUGUGUGUGUGUUGACGGUGGUGAUGGGGAAAUGGGGUUUAGUAGAAAGAAGACGAGUUUUCCAUGGAUCUGGGCAGCUUGGACUAAUGCUCAGAGGUGGUGAAGGGUAGAACAGAUGUCAGAAGCCAUCAGAAAUGCAUCUUGCUGGAGAUGAAGCCUGGGGUUUUGGAUAAGAGAGAUUUGGAAGAAAGCAACGGAAGAAGCUCAAUCACACUUUAAAUAUAUCAUCCCAUUAACUUCUGGCCUCCAUGGUUUCUGAUGAGAAAUCAAUAAUUAAUCUUAUAAAGGAUCCCUGGACUAUGGAAGGACACUUAUGGAAAUUUCCCUUCUUAGGACAGUGCACUGGGAAUAUCCCCCAGAAGUCACGUGAAUGUUGGCCUGAGCUGAUUCUCUACUGGAGCCCUUGGCCCGAUCUCAUUGUUUUCUCUCCUGCUACCUGAAGUCAAACCUAAAAAUACAAACCCAAGUUUGUAGCCAACAUCAGGGUAAAAACAAACAAAAAACAACCAUUAAAACCAUUUCCACUUCUUUGCCAGAACAGGAAGUCAUCGCCCCAAUAGAGGAUGUUGAUGCAUAAAUUCAGUAGAAAGACCAAGAAAAAGGAACUCAGCACAGUUAAGCCAGUUUUGGGGGCGGGGGAGGGGUGGCAUGGAGCGUUCACUUCCCAACCUCGCGGGGAGGUUGCUAAGCAGAGUGUCUCAUUAGCUGCCUGGUGAUGGGAAGGAGCCACAUGGUUCCAGAGAGGGGGCUUUCUCACUGUCCCAGGCUCACCUAGGAAACCAGAUCCUAACACAGCCCCUGAUUACUUUGCCAUGUCCACGACUUAGCGUUUUUUUCCUGGAAUAGGAAAACAGCUGAGAAUGCCGGGCAAGUCCUUCUUGCUCAUAUGAUUCCCGUCUUUUGGUUUCUUGUCCGCUUUUUUCUGAACCCUGGGACCAGUUCCAGCCCUUCCUCAUAAGGGUGGGGCCUGCAAUUUGGUUUCAGUUUGAUUUGUCCCAGUAUCUAACUCAGUCUGGAGUUCAACAAAAAAUUGGAUAAACACUUUCUGGUGCCAAUGUCUGUGUCUCACGGCGUAGACAUCUGGAUGUAAUGUUAAAUAAACAUUACCCGCCACGAAAACCAGUUGGAUCUGUUUGUGGUUACUUCAGCCCCGAGAAAUUCUUUCGUUCAAGAUUCUGGCCUGAUACCUGUGGGAAGCAGCUUUUGACCUCAUCAGGCUGUGAGUUAAAGCUAACCCUGAAUCAUUUUCUUCCUUUUUUCUGACCUGUCACACAAGGCUGGAUGGCCUGGCUCCUCCCUAGAGGGUGGCUCAGCCUUCUUCCUCUGACGCAAACCCUUGCUUGUGGCAGUUUCUGUUGAAACACAUUUC